GUAACGGCGAGUGAAGCGGUAACAGCUCAAAUUUGAAAUCUGGCUCCUCGGGGCCCGAAUUGUAAUUUGUAGAAGAUGCUUUGGGUCUGGGCCUGGCCUAAGUUCCUUGGAACAGGACGUCGUAGAGGGUGAGAAUCCCGUAUGCGGCUGGCGCCCGUGCCCGUGUAAAGCUCUUUCAACGAGUCGAGUUGUUUGGGAAUGCAGCUCUAAAUGGGUGGUAAAUUUCAUCUAAAGCUAAAUAUUGGCCAGAGACCGAUAGCGCACAAGUAGAGUGAUCGAAAGAUGAAAAGCACUUUGGAAAGAGAGUUAAACAGUACGUGAAAUUGUUGAAAGGGAAGCGCUGGCAACCAGACUUGGGCGCUGUUGAUCCGCUAGGGUUCUCUCUAGGGCACUCGGCAGUGCGCAGGCCAGCAUCGGUUUGGGGGGUUGGAGAAUGGCUGGUGGAAUGUGGCUGUCUUUGGGCAGUGUUAUAGCCACCGGUGGCAUGCAGCCUCCCCGGACCGAGGACCGCGCUUCGGCUAGGAUGCUGGCGUAAUGGUUGUCAGCGACCCGUCUUGAAACACGGACCAAGGAGUCUAACAUCUAUGCGAGUGUUUGGGUGUUAAACCCAUACGCGGAAUGAAAGUGAACGUAGGUGAGAACCCGCAAGGGUGCAUCAUCGACCGAUCCUGAUGUCUUCGGAUGGAUUUGAGUAAGAGCAUAGCUGUUGGGACCCGAAAGAUGGUGAACUAUGCCUGAAUAGGGUGAAGCCAGAGGAAACUCUGGUGGAGGCUCGCAGCGGUUCUGACGUGCAAAUCGAUCGU
rnacentral:rRNA from 2 species